UCGGAUCCAGGUUAUAUUCUCCGAUGCUUCACAGUGGAUGAUACUCGAAUACCGAACGUUUUUGAAGAUGGCGCCUGUUCUGGGUCCCCCUCACAGGCACGCUUGCAUCUUUCCGAGAGAUCGUUGCAGGGGGAAGUUGACGCAGUCCAGGGGAGAAGACGCGCCUCCCCCCGCCCUUCUUCAGCUCUCCGUCGUAUCCACCAUCUCCCGAAAGCUCAAGGCUGCGGCUCCCCUAAGAUGUUUCGAGUCCCGGCACGGUACUGAUGCGGUUCCCCUCUUCCUCAACUCGUCCUCCGCUGCUCUCGUCGAACAGUGCCGGCGUGGAGCCCGUCUCCGAGAUCGUUAGGCCUUUUGCGGCCUCUUCUAGUUUGAUCGUUCAAAUCUCCGGCAGCACUCAGUCAUCCAAGUUCGGUAAGGAUCUGGUCUUCUGGUUUGGCGUCAUUUCUUGUUAUCUUCCCGAUGAAGCCUCCAUCGUCAUUAUUCCUCACAGCAGCGAUGGAGAUGAAACUAGGAACAAAUAUUGCCCCUUUUAACCGAUGAUUCCAUCUGCAAGCAUCAAAACAUUUCGACCAUAUGAGAGUAUUUUUCAUAGUCAAAGUUCAAUUACAGUUUUUCCUUGAAUUUUAGAAAUAUCAAGCACGAAUCAACCCGUUGCAUGAAGAAACAGCAAAUCUAGCAUCAAUAAAUACUAAUAUUCUAGGUCUCCACGGACAUGAUAAUAUAUUUUGUAAACUUUAGCGAAAGACAACUUGUGUGAUAAAAGGGAAAUGACUUAUGUUUGAUACUGUCCCAUUUGGUUAAAAUCGGUGAAUAAAAGACUGACACUAUGGAGAGAUCAUCAAUGAUUUUGCUUGCAAAUGACUUUGGAUCUCUCCCAAACAGAAAAACUAUGAUGUAUCUCUGAUAAACUUUCAAAAACACAUAACCAGUUCCGGCGAAAGAGAAGUAAAAGAAGAGGAAUCAGAGAGUCAAAAAAGAUCGGGGAUGGUUCGAAAGGAGUAAGUGAAGGGCCUAAGCUUACGGGCUGGGCCGACGGGCUUGAGCUAGAGGAGCCUGACCCACCAGCUUAACGAAUUUAACCGAUGGCUAAUCGAAAUAAAUAUGGAAGGACGCGAUGGAGAGUGUGUGGAAUUUCUAUGACCUUAAUCUGCCCGCUAUCUCUCUCAGUUCCUUCCAGACACUCUCUUUCUCACACACUCUCUCUCUUUCUAGUCUCUUCUCAGUUCUGUCCUCUCUCAUGAACCUGAUUCUGUUCCUAGAUUGUUAAUUUCCAGAAAUAGUAUCAGUUGCCGUCUAGUUCUUGAAAGAACUGUAAGAGCUAUCCCUGUGGAUGUUCUGUUUGAUUUCAACAAGUAUUACUCUCUGUCACUAUCUGGAAUUGUCUAAGCAAAUAUUAUUGAGAAUAUUUGAGCCUAGCUUCAUCAAUUGAAUUUUCUUGAGUUAAAUAUUAUCUGUUUCGGUUGUCGUUCUGAGUUGUCUUCCAAUCUUUACCAAAAGGGGGUCCCAUCAAUCUCUCUGGUGGAGCCCGAGAUUUGCACAGGACGACGCCGGCGAGGGCUUCGGGAGCAUGCCGCAUCAGUCACACCACAGCGGAAGGCCAUCUCUGCCGUCCACGACGACGCUGGGGCCUACCUUGGUGAGGAGGAUGAGAACUACAAUACCAUUGGUAGGACCUGUACAAUGUAGGGCAGAACUUCCUUCAGAUGCUCUGCGGGGGUGAGUACGCGGAUUUCCCCUAGGAGGUAGAGGAGGAGAAGAAGCUUGGGAAGUUGCCGCCACCACGGGGGGCGCACACCGUUGUAGUGGCCUCAGAGGCCUCCUUCGUUGCCGGUGAUUCAGACGCCCCCGCUCUUGCUGCCUCCUCCCACGGAGCAGGAGCCGCCUUCGGAUUUCUCCUAGUUGCUGAUGUCGAUCCCUGGCAUCGGUGGGGAUCCUGCGAUCGAGAGAGGCAUGGAUGGAUGGGUCGAGGGGGUACGCUGAGGUGGGAUCCUGUCCGUCGAGGAUGUCUGCCGCUGAAGAAGCUGUGUGAUGAUGAGAGGUGAGAGGCCAAGCGGACAAAUCUUAAGAGUGAAUCAUCAUCUUCUUGUCAUGUUCUCCACAUAACAAGAGCCCUAUCAUUCAUUCCAUGACCCAACGCUUCACCCAUCAGAUUGCUUUGCAGUAACAUAUCAAUGAAAUAAAAUCUGCUCCGCUGAGAAAAAUCGU
rnacentral:lncRNA from 1 species